rnacentral:rRNA from 1 species
AGUGAACGCUGGCGGCGUGCCUAAGACAUGCAAGUCGAAGGAAGUGGCUCACGGGUGAGUAAUAUAUAGCUAACCGGCCCCUUGCUGGAGGACAACAGUUAGAAAUGACUGCUAAUACUCCAUAGCAAGGGAUGAGCCUAUUUCGUAUCAGCGAGUCGGUGGGGUAACGGCCUACCGCGGCUAUGACGCGUAACUGGUCUGAGAGGAUGAUCAGUCACAUUGGAACUGCAGCACGCGCCAAACACCUCCGGGAGGCACCGAUAGGGAGUAGAGCGCAAGGCGGGCAGCGUUGCCGCAGCAACGCCGCGUGGAGCAUGACACUUUUCGCGGCGUUAACUCCUUGUGUUAGAGUAGCGGAACCUUUCGAUCCUGCCCCGGCUACCUCCGUGCCAGCAGCCGCGGUAAUAC